UACGUAGGGGGCUAGCGUUGUCCGGAAUCAUUGGGCGUAAAGCGCGCGUAGGCGGCCCGGUAAGUCCGCCCUGAAAGUCCAGGGCUCAACCCUGGAAAGCGGGUGGAUACUGCCGGGCUAGAAUCCGGAAGAGGCGAGUGGAAUUCCUGGUGUAGCGGUGGAAUGCGCAGAUAUCAGGAGGAACACCAAUAGCGAAGGCAGCUCGCUGGGACGGUAUUGACGCUGAGGCGCGAAAGCGUGGGGAGCAAACAGG
rnacentral:rRNA from 1 species